rnacentral:rRNA from 1 species
AUUGAACGCUGGCGGCAGGCUUAACACAUGCAAGUCGAACGAGUGGCGGACGGGUGAGUAAUGCUUGUGAAUCUAGCUUAUGGAGGGGGAUAACUACGGGAAACUGUAGCUACUACCGCGUCCCAUAGGAUGCGCCCAAGUGGGAUUAGGUCGUUGGUGGUGUAAAGGCUCACCAAGCCGACGAUCUCUAGCUGGUCUGAGAGGAGGACCAGCCCCACUGGGACUGAGACACGGCCCAGACUCCUACGGGAGGCAGUAGUGGGGAAUAUUGCACAAUGGGCGCAAGCCUGAUGCAGCCAUGCCGCGUGUAUGAAGAAGGCCUUAGGGUGGUAAAGUACUGUCAGCGGGGAGGCGUUACCCGCAGAAGAAGCACCGGCUAACUCCGUGCCAGCAGCCGCGGUAAUAC